UACGUAGGGGGCAAGCGUUGUCCGGAAUCAUUGGGCGUAAAGCGCGUGUAGGCGGCUCGGUAAGUCCGCUCUGAAAGUCCAGGGCUCAACCCUGGGAUGCGGGUGGAUACUGCCGGGCUCGAGUCCGGAAGAGGCGAGUGGAAUUCCCGGUGUAGCGGUGAAAUGCGUAGAUAUCGUAAGGAAGACCAGUGGCGAAGGCGGGUCUCUGGACAGUUCCUGACGCUGAGGCACGAAGGUCAGGGGAGCAAACGGG
rnacentral:rRNA from 1 species